CCUACGGGAGUCAGCAGUGAGGCAUAUUGGUCAAUGGACGAGAGUCUGAACCAGCCAAGUAGCGUGAAGGAUGACUGCCCUAUGGGUUGUAAACUUCUUUUAUAUGGGAAUAAAAUGUUCCACGUGUGGGAUUUUGUAUGUACCAUAUGAAUAAGGAUCGGCUAACUCCGUGCCAGCAGCCGCGGUAAUACGGAGGAUCCGAGCGUUAUCCGGAUUUAUUGGGUUUAAAGGGAGCGUAGGUGGAUUGUUAAGUCAGUUGUGAAAGUUUGCGGCUCAACCGUAAAAUUGCAGUUGAAACUGGCAGUCUUGAGUACAGUAGAGGUGGGCGGAAUUCGUGGUGUAGCGGUGAAAUGCUUAGAUAUCACGAAGAACUCCGAUUGCGAAGGCAGUUCACUGGACUGCAACUGACACUGAGGCUCGAAAGUGUGGGUAUCAAACAGGAUUAGAUACCCCUGUAGUC
rnacentral:rRNA from 1 species